rnacentral:rRNA from 1 species
UACGUAGGGGGCUAGCGUUGUCCGGAAUCAUUGGGCGUAAAGCGCGUGUAGGCGGUUCGGUAAGUCCGCCGUGAAAGUCGGGGGCUCAACCCUCGGAUGCCGGUGGAUACUGUCAGACUAGAGUACGGAAGAGGCGAGUGGAAUUCCUGGUGUAGCGGUGAAAUGCGCAGAUAUCAGGAGGAACACCGAUUGCGAAGGCAGCUCGCUGGGACGUUACUGACGCUGAGACGCGAAAGCGUGGGGAGCAAACAGG